UCCUACGGGGGGCAGCAGUAGGGAAUUUUCGUCAAUGGACGCAAGCCUGAACGAGCAAUGCCGCGUGAACGAGGAAGGUCUUCGGAUCGUAAAGUUCUGUUGAAGGGGAAAAAGAGCGGAGAGAGGAAAUGGUCUCCGAUUGAUAUUACCCUUCGAGGAAGUCACGGCUAACUACGUGCCAGCAGCCGCGGUAAUACGUAGGUGGCGAGCGUUAUCCGGAAUGAUUGGGCGUAAAGGGUGCGUAGGCGGCCUGCUAAGUCUGGAGUGAAGGGUACCGGCUCAACCGUUACAGGCUCUGGAAACUG
rnacentral:rRNA from 1 species